AGCAGUCUACCAGAAACAGUAUAACAAAGUAAAGACAUCCUUUGUAAACUUAUUUCAAGUUUUUUCCCAAAAACUGGCGCAGACGUCGGUUUACCAACUGUUUCUUCGUGAUAUCUUCCAUCAUUCAAAUCCUCAUCUAUACAGAUCACGUAAGAAAACUUUUGCGACGCAGAUACGACGCGUUUAAUAUACAGAUCGGACUUUGCAAAUGUCUCUUGCCAUCGGACAUCCAGUGGCCCAUCCGAUUUGGAAGGUUGAGAAAACGAGGUAUACAACACAACGGUGAAUUUAGGACCUAUUUGAAUCUCAGUAUGACUUUCUUCGAACCUCUUAUCAGACAAUUCCAAAAAACAUUGAGCUUGAAGGAGUCUGGAUGGCGAAAUAGUAUUGCUUAAAGCUGUGUUAAGGGUUAUGCCCGCCGUUGUCAAUGAUAGGUUAAUUAGAGGAAUAGUCUAUUACAGAUUAGUAAACAAUCAUUGACUUCAUGAAUUUACCUCCUCAAUUUCUCUUAGUAAUACUUCACAACGGCGGAAAAUUUUUUCCGAAGCUUCAUCCGCCUUUUCAGGGCUUUUCUUUUCUGAGCCAGAUGCUUCAUAAUCAAUAAACUCUAGAAAAUCAUCAAUAUGGUCUCGUAGCCUGAUGAUCAAGGGAACUAAAUUCUGAAGACUUGAAUUUCCACGCGCAGCACUAUUCCAAGUUAGUUUCAUCGACCAUAACGGACUACAGAAUUAAACAGUCAAUUGUUUUACGAAACAGUAGCUUG